CCUCAAAUCAGGUAGGACUACCCGCUGAACUUAAGCAUAUCAAUAA
rnacentral:rRNA from 5 species